UUUUAAUUAUAUAGCAACCUACUCAGUCUG
rnacentral:piRNA from 1 species